rnacentral:rRNA from 1 species
UACAGAGGGGGCAAGCGUUAUUCGGAAUUAUUGGGCGUAAAGGGCGCGUAGGCGGCCUUUCAAGUGACGGGUGAAAUCCCUCGGCUUAACCGAGGAACUGCCUGUCAGACUGGGAGGCUUGAGACCGGGAGAGGUGAGUGGAAUUCCCAGUGUAGCGGUGAAAUGCGUAGAUAUUGGGAGGAACACCUGCGGCGAAGGCGGGUUGCUGGGCCGACACUGACGCUGAUGCGCGAAAGCUAGGGGAGCGAACGGG